rnacentral:rRNA from 1 species
AUGAAAAGUAACAGGGCCCCUGGCCCGGAUAAUAUCCCCGCUGAAUUUUACCAGCAUUGCUGGGAGAUAGUGAGGAGUGAUAUCAUGAGAUUGUUUACUGCCUUUCAUGCUGGGGAACUUGAUGUCUGUAGAUUGAACUAUGGCAUUAUUACUUUACUGCCUAAAAUCAAUGGGGCAAUAAAAUUCAGCAGUUUAGGCCGAUCUGCCUGCUAA